AUGCGUCAGUUUCAGUAUAAGUCAACAUUUCAGACCAAUUUGCCUCCUACCGCUAGCAAUUACCAGCAGAAGUCUAGCGCUGCAACAAAAAGUGGGGGAGGGGGUGACAGUGAUAUUCAGACAUCCAAAGCAAUCUAUGCAGGGGGAGUUCUGAAUGGUAAUCAAGACGCUGCGGGAGGGGGGAUGGAAAACAAACAACAGGCAACUAACAAGAUCAUCUGUCACAAAUGUGGAGAGAAGGGUCAUAAUUCCAAGGGGUGUGAAGCUAAAGUCAAAUGUUCCAUCACACACAUAGCUGAAUUAUGUGCAUGGCUGCAUCAGAAAAAACCAGUGGCAUCUUUGGUGGGGUUUGGAGGAGAAGGACUAGGCAUUUUUGUGGCAGAUCAUGCAAAAGAGUUACCUGGGAAUAAUAAUAAUGAUGCAGUAGCUUUGGUCAGGCUCAGAGAUGACUGUGAUUUGGAAAUUGAUUCAGAGGAUCUUAUCAAUAGCUUGGCAAAAACUUACCCCUGGAGGUGGGAUUGGAAAGCAAAGAAAGUGUCUGAUGGAGUUUUCCUGCUAAAUUUUCCAUCUGUUGCAAGGAUCAAUGAGGCUGCCAUUUAUGACUGGGUCCCUCUGAAAGGUGGAAACAUAAUGAUCAAAGUGAAAGUCUGGAAUGAUGAUGCUAUGGCUAUUGGUAAACUAGCAUUGAUAUGGGUCAGCGCUAAGGGGGUACCAAAAACAAUGAAAAACUAUCAGGGGCUUUGUGAGAUUGGAUCAAUGAUUGGAUAUGUGCAAAUUGUUGACGUGGAUUUGGUAAACAUAAGUGGUUUGGUCAAGCUGAAGAUUGCUGUGGUGGAUCACACCAAAAUCCCCAGAUGGACUAAGCUGACAACUCCAAAUCUCAUGGUUUACAGAAUUUUCUUUGAGGUGGAAGAGGUUUUAGAUGAAGGAUGGACCAAACUAGAAGAUGAACUAUCACAAGGAUAUGAGCAGUGGAUGGAUUUCCAACAUGAGGAGGAUGAAAACAGAGAGGCAAAGAAAGCAAAAACAGAUGCAAAUGUUGCAAUCUGUGCAAGUACUAGAACCAGGAUGGCACUAGCUAGAAGACAAAGAGGCUGCUAUUAA
rnacentral:rRNA from 1 species